AUUGAACGCUGGCGGCAGGCUUAACACAUGCAAGUCGAGCGGGGAAGGGUAGCUUGCUACCUAACCUAGCGGCGGACGGGUGAGUAAUGCUUAGGAAUCUGCCAUUUAGUGGGGGACAACAUUCCGAAAGGAAUGCUAAUACCGCAUACGUCCUACGGGAGAAAGCAGGGGAUCUUCGGACCUUGCGCUAAAUGAUGAGCCGAAGUCGGAUUAGCUAGUUGGUGGGGUAAAGGCCUACCAAGGCGACGAUCUGUAGCGGGCCUGAGAGGAUGAUCCGCCACACUGGGACUGAGACACGGCCCAGACUCCUACGGGAGGCAGCAGUGGGGAAUAUUGGACAAUGGGCGGAAGCCUGAUCCAGCCAUGCCGCGUGUGUGAAGAAGGCCUUAUGGUUGUAAAGCACUUUAAGCGAGGAGGAGGCUACUUAGAUUAAUACUCUAGGAUAGUGGACGUUACUCGCAGAAUAAGCACCGGCUAACUCUGUGCCAGCCGCCGCAGUAA
rnacentral:rRNA from 1 species